rnacentral:misc_RNA from 1 species
AUCAUUGUUGAUUGCUGCACACCAAACAGUUUGUUAAGCCAUUUAUAUUGAAAUGUCUGUUUUGACGAGAUAACAAUUACUUUUUUUAAUAUAUAAAUUCUUUUUUAAAAUUUAGAAUCAGAUUUUCUAGCGGCGGUUGUUACCGCUACAUUCUCCGUGGUAUUUGUGACCGUUUUCAUAGUGGGGACUUUCACCUACAGACAUCUAAAAUUGCAAAUGGAUUUACAAAACAAUUGGUGGAGAAUACCCUGGGAGUCUUUGAAAUCGGUGUCCGAAAGGGAGUCGUCGUGUAUUAUGAAUUCAAAACUCUCAAUGAUUCACAUGAAUAGUUCCGAGCAUGAUGAACCGAAGGACAAAAUGAAUAAAUAUUUCAAGGGUUCCAUUGUUUCUGUGUCAGUCACUAAAGUAAGACAUUUCCACCCUUCGAGAAGCCAGCUAAUGGAUUUGCUCAAUCUAAGAAACGUCCACUGUGUGAAUCUCACAAAGUUUUAUGGUUUGACCCAAAAUAACACCAAACUGUACAUUGUUAGUGAAGCUUGUAGUCGAGGGACAUUAAAGGACAUUCUUCAUAACAGCAGUUUCAAAAUCAACAAGGACUUGCAGACCUCAUUAAUUUGCGAUAUGAUAAAGGGCUGUAGUUACCUUCACGCCAGCCCUGUGCGGUACCAUGGGAGCCUGACCAGUCAGGACUGUUUGAUCGACAAGCGAUUUGUCCUCAAAAUCACCGGGUUUGGACUUCCAGAAAUUCGAACCAGCGACCACAAAACGGAUAAACAACAACUGUUUUAUGUGGCCCCAGAAGUUUUGAGAAAUGCCAUCAGAGAACCCAACUUCCUGGUAUUCCAAUCAGCUGAUGUCUACAGCUUUGGGGUCAUACUAUACGAGAUACUGACCAGGAAAGAACCAUUUGAAGAUGAUUUGCAGUAUUCAUCAAUUGACGAAAUUAUUGAAAAGAUCAAGUCCAUCCCAAGCUUUACGUCUCCAUUUAAAGCCGAUGUUGAGGAAUAUGUAGAAAAUUCACUCCUAAACCUGAUGUAUUCAUGCUUGGAGGGAGAGGCAGAACACAGACCAACGUUUGCAAAGAUAUCGAAAGAGUCAAAGAGGAAUAAAUGGGGUAUAUCAGGAGAAAACUUUCUGGACAUCCUACUUUUUCGAAUGGAGGAAUAUGCAAAUAACCUGGAACAUAUCGCCGAGGAAAGGAUGCAUGCCUUUCUGGAUGAAAAACGCAGGUCUGAUGAGCUUCUAUAUCAGGUUCUACCCAGGAGCAUUGCACGUGACCUUAUUCGUGGUCACAAAGUGGAGGCCGAGGCGUACCAGUGCGUGACGAUAUACUUCAGUGAUAUUGUCGGAUUCACCGCCAUAUCUGCAAUGAGUAAUCCUAUGCAGAUUGUGGACAUGCUGAAUGAUUUGUACACUUGUUUUGACACAGUGUUAGAAAAAUAUGAUGUCUACAAAGUAGAGACAAUUGGUGAUGCCUACAUGGUUGUUUCCGGUUUACCUCUGCGCAAUGGCAAUGAACACGUCACAGAGAUCGCAAAGAUGUCGGUUGCUAUAUUGGACAGUGUCAAUGACUUUCACAUUCGACAUCUGCCAGACGUGCAAUUGCGUGCUAGAAUAGGAAUUCAUUCGGGCCCAGUGUGUGCCGGAGUGGUAGGGAAGAAGAUGCCCCGGUACUGUCUUUUUGGAGACACCGUUAACACCGCGUCCAGGAUGGAGUCAAAUGGGGAAGCCAUGAAAAUUCACGUGAGUUCAACGACCCGAAACCUUCUUCAAUCGAGCGACUUGUUUGUUUUGCAGGAACGUGGAUCUAUAGCAAUAAAGGGGAAAGGGGACAUGACCACGUACUGGUUGAUGGCAAGGGAGGCAACCCUGUAAUUUAAAAACCAGCAAUUCAGAGUUUACACUAGUAAAACUGCAUUUAGUUUGAAAAUAACUGUUACUUUUGUGUAAACCAUACACAAGAAAAACAAGAAAAUGAUUUUACGAUUUGAUUAUUUUGCUAUAAUUGUGUUGUCAGUGCUUAUUUUAAUAAAAAUGUGGCGCAUGAGGCAUUCUAGAGACACAUUACGUACUCUU